UACGUAGGGACCGAGCGUUGUCCGGAAUCAUUGGGCGUAAAGAGCGUGUAGGCGGCCUUUUAAGUCCUGCGUGAAAUCCUGCGGCUCAACCGCAGACGGUCGUGGGAAACUGGAAGGCUAGAGUGCGGGAGAGGAGAGUGGAAUUCCCGGUGUAGCGGUGAAAUGCGCAGAUAUCGGGAAGAACACCCGUGGCGAAGGCGGCUCGCUGGGACGUUACUGACACUGAGGCGCGAAAGCGUGGGGAGCGAACAGG
rnacentral:rRNA from 1 species